GAUGAACGCUGGCGGCGUGCCUAAUACAUGCAAGUCGAGCGAACAGAUGAGGAGCUUGCUCCUCUGACGUUAGCGGCGGAUGGGUGAGUAACACGUGGAUAACCUACCUAUAAGACUGGGAUAACUUCGGGAAACCGGAGCUAAUACCGGAUAAUAUAUUGAACCGCAUGGUUCAAUAGUGAAAGACGGUUUUGCUGUCACUUAUAGAUGGAUCCGCGCCGCAUUAGCUAGUUGGUAAGGUAACGGCUUACCAAGGCAACGAUGCGUAGCCGACCUGAGAGGGUGAUCGGCCACACUGGAACUGAGACACGGUCCAGGCUCCUACGGGAGGCAGCAGUAGGGAAUCGUCCGCAGUGGGCGAAAGCCUGACGGAGCAACGCCGCGUGAGUGAUGAAGGUCUUCGGAUCGUAAAACUCUGUUAUUAGGGAAGAACAAAUGUGUAAGUAACUAUGCACGUCUUGACGGUACCUAAUCAGAAAGCCACGGCUAACUACGUG
rnacentral:rRNA from 1 species